rnacentral:rRNA from 1 species
AUGCAAGUCGAGCGGGGGAGGUUGCUUCGGUAACUGACCUANCNNCNGACGGGUGAGUAAUACUUAGGAAUCUGCCUAUUAAUGGGGGACAACAUCUCGAAAGGGAUGCUAAUACCGCAUACGCCCUACGGGGGAAAGCAGGGGAUCACUUGUGACCUUGCGUUAAUAGAUGAGCCUAAGUCGGAUUAGCUAGUUGGUGGGGUAAAGGCCUACCAAGGCGACGAUCUGUAGCGGGUCUGAGAGGAUGAUCCGCCACACUGGGACUGAGACACGGCCCAGACUCCUACGGGAGGCAGCAGUGGGGAAUAUUGGACAAUGGGGGGAACCCUGAUCCAGCCAUGCCGCGUGUGUGAAGAAGGCCUUAUGGUUGUAAAGCACUUUAAGCGAGGAGGAGGCUCUUUUGGUUAAUACCCAAGAUGAGUGGACGUUACACGCAGAGUAAGCACCGGCUAACUCUGUGCCAGCAGCCGCGGUAAUACAGAGGGUGCGAGCGUUAAUCGGAUUUACUGGGCGUAAAGCGUGCGUAGGCGGCUUUUUAAGUCGGAUGUGAAAUCCCCGAGCUUAACUUGGGAAUUGCAUUCGAUACUGGGAAGCUAGAGUAUGGGAGAGGAUGGUAGAAUUCCAGGUGUAGCGGUGAAAUGCGUAGAGAUCUGGAGGAAUAACGAUGGCGAAGGCA